UACGGAGGGGGCUAGCGUUGUUCGGAAUUACUGGGCGUAAAGCGCACGUAGGCGGCUUUGUAAGUUAGAGGUGAAAGCCCAGGGCUCAACCCUGGAAUUGCCUUUAAGACUGCAUCGCUUGAACAUCGGAGAGGUAAGUGGAAUUCCGAGUGUAGAGGUGAAAUUCGUAGAUAUUCGGAGGAACACCAGCGGCGAAGGCGGCUCACUGGUCCAUUACUGACGCUGAGGUGCGAAAGCGUGGGGAGCAAACAGG
rnacentral:rRNA from 1 species